rnacentral:rRNA from 1 species
ACGCUGGCGGCAGGCCUAACACAUGCAAGUCGAGCGGUAGAGAGAAGCUUGCUUCUCUUGAGAGCGGCGGACGGGUGAGUAAUGCCUAGGAAUCUGCCUGGUAGUGGGGGAUAACGUUCGGAAACGGACGCUAAUACCGCAUACGUCCUACGGGAGAAAGCAGGGGACCUUCGGGCCUUGCGCUAUUAGAUGAGCCUAGGUCGGAUUAGCUAGUUGGUGAGGUAAUGGCUCACCAAGGCGACGAUCCGUAACUGGUCUGAGAGGAUGAUCAGUCACACUGGAACUGAGACACGGUCCAGACUCCUACGGGAGGCAGCAGUGGGGAAUAUUGGACAAUGGGCGAAAGCCUGAUCCAGCCAUGCCGCGUGUGUGAAGAAGGUCUUCGGAUUGUAAAGCACUUUAAGUUGGGAGGAAGGGCAGUUACCUAAUACGUGAUUGUUUUGACGUUACCGACAGAAUAAGCACCGGCUAACUCUGUGCCAGCAGCCGCGGUAAUACAGAGGGUGCAAGCGUUAAUCGGAAUUACUGGGCGUAAAGCGCGCGUAGGUGGUUUGUUAAGUUGGAUGUGAAAUCCCCGGGCUCAACCUGGGAACUGCAUUCAAAACUGACUGACUAGAGUAUGGUAGAGGGUGGUGGAAUUUCCUGUGUAGCGGUGAAAUGCGUAGAUAUAGGAAGGAACACCAGUGGCGAAGGCGACCACCUGGACUGAUACUGACACUGAGGUGCGAAAGCGUGGGAGCAAAC